rnacentral:rRNA from 1 species
UCUUGCUCCAAAAAGAAUAAAUAAUUCAACAUCGAGGUCAUAAUCUUUUUCUUUUAUAAGAACUUUGGGAAAAAAUUAUGCUGUUAUCCCUACGGUAACUUAGUUAAUUCUUAAUUUAAGGAUGUUUAGAGAAGGGAAAAGAAGAUUUAGUUUUUUACCGCCCCAGUUCAACAGAAGUCAAGCUCGAUAGGGUCUUGUCGUCCUUCUUAAAAAUUCAAGUCUUCUUACUUGAAAGCAAAGUUAAAGUAAUAAAAGUAAUAAAGGAAUUUAUAUGACAGACCUUUCAUUCUAGCCUUUAAUUAAAAGGCAAAUGAUUAUGCUACCUUAGCACAAGGUUAUUGCGGCUAUUGAGAAAGAUUCAUUGAGCAGGUCCUACUGAAUAUGAUACCAUUCAGAAAUGUUUUUGGUAAACAGACAAUAAAUUAGAGCCGAGUUCAUAAACUUUUAAUUUAGCAAAAAAUUAAAACAGUUUUUACAAUGAAAUUUUAUAGAACCUUUACUAAUGAAAUCAUUAUGGAGGGUUAAAAGAAUAUUUUCUUCUAAUAAAAUUGGAGAAUAAGAUAAGCAAGUUUUUAAACUGGAAGGACACUACUAAUCCUAAUAGAAAAGAAAAUGAAAGAGGAGAAUUGAUAAAAAAGAUUGUCCUUUUUAAUUUAUUUGUACUUUUACCUUAAAAGAAAACCAGAUAUAAUAGAAUGCGCAUGAAAUUUCAUCUCUAUUCUUAUUUUGAAGAGCUCUUUAAAACGAGUUCGGCAUAAAAUGAAUAGCUCAUCUCUAUUUCGGGAAAAGUUUUUAAAAAAGUUCAAUUGAUUUCCCCUGAUACUAAAGGUACAAAUUUUUUCUGUGGCUUAAUAUAACAAAUUUCCCUCACGGUUAAAGAAGCUAAAAUAAUAAAUAAAAAGGAAUAAAUAUUUAUUUAGAUUAUAUUUUUAAAAAGAAGU